GGCGUGCUAUACAUGCAGUCGAGCGGACCGACGGGAGCUUGCUCCCUUAGGUCAGCGGCGGACGGGUGAGUAACACGUGGGUAACCUGCCUGUAAGACUGGGAUAACUCCGGGAAACCGGGGCUAAUACCGGAUGCUUGAUUGAACCGCAUGGUUCAAUCAUAAAAGGUGGCUUUUAGCUACCACUUACAGAUGGACCCGCGGCGCAUUAGCUAGUUGGUGAGGUAACGGCUCACCAAGGCGACGAUGCGUAGCCGACCUGAGAGGGUGAUCGGCCACACUGGGACUGAGACACGGCCCAGACUCCUACGGGAGGCAGCAGUAGGGAAUCUUCCGCAAUGGACGAAAGUCUGACGGAGCAACGCCGCGUGAGUGAUGAAGGUUUUCGGAUCGUAAAACUCUGUUGUUAGGGAAGAACAAGUACCGUUCGAAUAGGGCGGUACCUUGACGGUACCUAACCAGAAAGCCACGGCUAACUACGUGCCAGCAGCCGCGGUAAUACGUAGGUGGCAAGCGUUGUCCGGAAUUAUUGGGCGUAAAGCGCGCGCAGGCGGUUUCUUAAGUCUGAUGUGAAAGCCCCCGGCUCAACCGGGGAGGGUCAUUGGAAACUGGGGAACUUGAGUGCAGAAGAGGAGAGUGGAAUUCCACGUGUAGCGGUGAAAUGCGUAGAGAUGUGGAGGAACACCAGUGGCGAAGGCGACUCUCUGGUCUGUAACUGACGCUGAGGCGCGAAAGCGUGGGGAGCGAACAGGAUUAGAUACCCUGGUAGUCCACGCCGUAAACGAUGAGUGCUAAGUGUUAGAGGGUUUCCGCUCUUUAGUGCUG
rnacentral:rRNA from 1 species